CAACUACUCCCUCUGUCCCAAAUUUCUUGUCUCAGAUUUGUCUAGAUACGGAUGUAUCUAAUACUAAAAUGUGACUUGAUACAUCCGUAUCUAGACAAAUCUAAGACAAGAAUUUUGGGACGGAGGGAGUACUUU
rnacentral:pre_miRNA from 1 species